GGUUGUGGCUCAGUGGUAGAGUGCUUGCCUCACAUGUGUGAGGCACUGGGUUCAAUUCUCAGCACCA
rnacentral:tRNA from 1 species